UACGUAGGCAGCAAGCGUUGUUCGGAAUCAUUGGGCGUAAAGAGUAUGUAGGCGGCCUUGUAAGUCAGUUGUGAAAGCCCCGGGCUCAACCCGGGAAGUGCAAUUGAUACUCGCUUGGCUUGAAUGUGGAAGAGGGCAGUAGAAUUCCAGGUGUAGUGGUGAAAUACGUAGAUAUCUGGAGGAAUACCGGUGGCGAAGGCGGCUGCCUGGUCCUACAUGACGCUGAGAUACGAAGCGU
rnacentral:rRNA from 1 species